rnacentral:rRNA from 1 species
UCGGGAAUUUUGGGCAAUGGGCGAAAGCCUGACCCAGCAACGCCGCGUGAAGGAUGAAGUAUUUCGGUAUGUAAACUUCGAAAGAAUGGGAAGAAUAAAUGACGGUACUAUUUAUAAGGUCCGGCUAACUACGUGCCAGCAGCCGCGGUAAUACGUAGGGACCAAGCGUUGUUCGGAUUUACUGGGCGUAAAGGGCGCGUAGGCGGCAAUUCAAGUCAUCUGUGAAAUCUCCGGGCUUAACUCGGAACGGUCAGAUGAUACUGCUUUGCUAGAGUGCAGAAGGGGCAAUCGGAAUUCUUGGUGUAGCGGUGAAAUGCGUAGAUAUCAAGAGGAACACCUGAGGUGAAGACGGGUUGCUGGGCUGACACUGACGCUGAGGCGCGAAAGCCAGGGGGAGCAAA